rnacentral:rRNA from 1 species
AUUGAACGCUGGCGGCAGGCCUAACACAUGCAAGUCGAGCGAGCGGCGGACGGGUGAGUAAUGUAUGGGGACUGCCCGAUAGAGGGGGAUAACUACUGGAAACGGUGGCUAAUACCGCAUACUAUCGGAUAACCCCUAUGUCAUUUGCUAGUAGGUGGGGUAAAGGCUCACCUAGGCGACGAUCACUAGCUGGUCUGAGAGGAUGAUCAGCCAAACUGGGACUGAGACACGGCCCAGACCCCUACGGAGGCAGCAGUGGGGAAUAUUGCACAAUGGGCGCAAGCAUGAUGCAGACAUGCCGCGUGUAUGAAGAAGGCCUUCGGGUUGUAAAGUACUUUCGGUAGCGAGGCGGGAAAUAAAGAAGAAGCACCGGCUAACUCCGUGCCAGCAGACGCGGUAAUAG